rnacentral:rRNA from 1 species
GACGAACGCUGGCGGCGUGCCUAAUACAUGCAAGUAGAACGCUGAAGGAGGAGCUUGCUCUUCUGGAUGAGUUGCGAACGGGUGAGUAACGCGUAGGUAACCUGCCUGGUAGCGGGGGAUAACUAUUGGAAACGAUAGCUAAUACCGCAUAAAAUUGAUUAUUGCAUGAUAGUCAAUUAAAAGGUGCAAUUGCAUCACUACCAGAUGGACCUGCGUUGUAUUAGCUAGUUGGUGAGGUAACGGCUCACCAAGGCAACGAUACAUAGCCGACCUGAGAGGGUGAUCGGCCACACUGGGACUGAGACACGGCCCAGACUCCUACGGGAGGCAGCAGUAGGGAAUCUUCGGCAAUGGACGGAAGUCUGACCGAGCAACGCCGCGUGAGUGAAGAAGGUUUUCGGAUCGUAAAGCUCUGUUGUAAGAGAAGAACGAGUGUGAGAGUGGAAAGUUCACACUGUGACGGUAUCUUAACAGAAAGGGACGGCUAACUACGUG